rnacentral:lncRNA from 1 species
AGAGGUAGGUGUUAAGGGAAAGCUUUGCUGGUAUUUUCUCUCUCACAGUAAUCAGGCAAUUGAUGACCUCCCCGACUUUGGCUGCUGGGAAACUCUCAGAAUAAACCACAAACAGAUCAGUGACUUCACCUGAACACCCACCGUCUGCACCAGUCAAGGGACAAGGAAGCUGUCUCCCUGACUUAAGACGCUCGCAGCCCAGAGGGAAGGUGGUGCACCCGCUGAAGAGCUGGGUCAGAGGAAGAGAGAGGACGCUGCAGGGAGCCAGGAGUCCUUGGGUUCCACCAUCCUCAGUACCUGUUUCCAUCCUCGACAUCUCUUCAUGGUUACCACAUGGCCACUGCUGCUUCAGCCAUCAUGUCAACAUUCGUCAGGAAGAAAGAGGAACUGGGAAGGAGGUCAAAAGGACCUCCCGGCUAAGUCAAUCCCUUAGAAAAUAUGUUUUCCUGGAAGCCUCACCCACUGACUCCCACCCCUGGACAGUUGGGCAAACCUUAGGACAUGUAUCUGAAAGGGCUUGGAAAUGUAGUUUCUCAGUUGGCCCAUUGUCAAUACUACCAAAAUCAGGGCUCCUUCCCAAAGGGCUCGAGGACAAUGGGUAUCGGGCAGGCAGGGAGCAGUGCCCCUCAGAGGAGCGGAAGGAGAAUUAGAAGCAGGGAUGUGGCAAGGUCGUGCUGCCAGCCCUGUGGAUCGUAGCCUGGGAAGAGCAAGAGAAACAGGAGAUGGGGAGAGUGUAAAAAAGCCAGAGUCAGUUUCGGGGCUGCGGGGAUGGAGAGAAGCAGACUUGAAGGAGGUGGAAUUGACAGGACUUGGUGAUGCCUGGGAUGUGAGGGUGGAAGAGAGGGAGCAUGAGGUUGUGAUAUAUAAUAAGAAAUAGAUAGUUAAUUUCCGUCCCCUCUUCUGGUGCAGAGCUCCUAAAACUCUUGGAAUUUUUUAGGUGAUAAGAGCAAUAAAUGUGUCUUUUAUUGUGUCCA